rnacentral:rRNA from 1 species
UACGUAGGGGGCAAGCGUUGUCCGGAAUCAUUGGGCGUAAAGCGCGUGUAGGCGGCUCGGUAAGUCUGCUGUGAAAGUCCAGGGCUCAACCCUGGGAUGCCGGUGGAUACUGUCGGACUAGAGUACGGAAGAGGCGAGUGGAAUUCCCGGUGUAGCGGUGAAAUGCGCAGAUAUCGGGAGGAACACCAGUUGCGAAGGCGGCUCGCUGGGACGUUACUGACGCUGAGACGCGAAAGCGUGGGGAGCAAACAGG